rnacentral:lncRNA from 1 species
CUGUGGUCUUGUGCUCUUCACUUGAGUUACUCUGUUUUGUGCUUUUCAAAAACUGUUUCUUGAUUGUAGGUCAAGAAGCUAUACAAGAAGCCGAAGCAGAGGCUGGUAUAGUAGAGAUCGUUCAAGAAGUCGAAGUAGUUCCUACCACAGUUACAAGAGUCGUAGGUAAGUUUCUCUAAUUGUUAAUUUUGAGGUGCGUUACCAAACCAGUAAAUGGUGCCCAGAACUCUGAUGCUUCAGUCUCUGAGCAAAUUGGAAAUGGGCUUAGCUGUGCAUGCUGCUGCCUGAAGCAUCUGCUUGAAACAUGCAAGUUAAAACAAUCAGAUUUUGAAAUAUCCUGUUACUGAAAAAGGAAUUGUAUUUCAUGUUUUACAGUGUGAGUAAGGAAUUCUGAGAAAAUCAUGUUCCCAUCCUCUUUCCCCCUCUUCCCUGUUCAGCACUUGUUCUUGAUUAACUUAACACAAAGCAUUUUGUUUUUGUUUGUCAGUCGAACCUAUAGUAGAAGCAGAUCAAGAAGUAGUUCCUAUGGUCAUCACAGCCGAUCCAGUAGGUCAUACACGUAUGAUAGUUACUAUAGCAGAAGCCGAAGUAGAAGUAAAAGGAGUGACAGCUAUCGGAGAUCUAGAAGUUACGAUAGGCGAUCCAGGUAUGUUACUUGCUUGCAUGUCUCUCAUACCAUAUUAAUGCAAAAGAAUUUGCAAAGUACGUACUUAAGUUCAUGA